GGCCGUAACUAUAACGGUCCUAAGGUAGCGAAAUUCCUUGUCGGGUAAGUUCCGACCUGCACGAAUGGCGUAAUGAUGGGGACGCUGUCGCCGCCCGAGACUCAGUGAAAUUGCAAGCGCUGUGAAGAUGCAGUCUACCCGCGGCUAGACGGAAAGCCCCCGUGAACCUUUACUAUAGCUUCACGCUGGACUCUGACCUUACUUGUGUAGGAUAGCUGGGAGACUUUGAAGCGGUGACGCCAGUCAUCGUGGAGUCAACCUUGAAAUACCAGCCUGGUAAUGUUGGGGUUCUAACUUAGAUCCAUUAUCUGGAUUGAGGACAGCGUGUGGUGGGUAGUUUGACUGGGGCGGUCUCCUCCCAAAGAGUAACGGAGGAGUGCGAAGGUGCCCUCAGCGCGGUCGGACAUCGCGCAUUGAGUAUAAUGGCAAAAGGGCGCUUGACUGUGAGAGUCACAACUCGAGCAGGUGCGAAAGCAGGUCAUAGUGAUCCGGUGGUUCUGUAUGGAAGGGCCAUCGCUCAACGGAUAAAAGGUACUCCGGGGAUAACAGGCUGAUACCGCCCAAGAGUUCAUAUCGACGGCGGUGUUUGGCACCUCGAUGUCGGCUCAUCACAUC
rnacentral:rRNA from 1 species